rnacentral:rRNA from 1 species
UACGUGAGGGGCGAACGUUGUUCGGUGUCACUGGGCUUAAAGGGCGCGUAGGUGGUUGCGUAAGUAACGUGUGAAAUCCCUCGGCUUACCCGGGGAAUUGCAUGUUAUACUGCGUGGCUUGAGGAUCAGAGGGGAAUGGGGAACUCCAGGUGUAGCGGUGAAAUGCGCAGAUAUCUGGGGGAAGGCCGGCGGCGAAGGCGCCAUUCUGGCUGAUUCCUGACACUGAGGCGCGAAAGCGUGGGGAGCAAACAGG